rnacentral:rRNA from 1 species
GACGAACGCUGGCGGCGUGCUUAACACAUGCAAGUCGAACGAAAGGACGGGAAGAGCUUGCUCUUUCCGGAAUUGAGUGGCAAACGGGUGAGUAACACGUAAACAACCUGCCUUCAGGAUGGGGACAACAGACGGAAACGACUGCUAAUACCGAAUAAGUUCCAAGAGCCGCAUGGCCCAUGGAAGAAAAGGUGGCCUCUACCUGUAAGCUAUCGCCUGAAGAGGGGUUUGCGUCUGAUUAGGCAGUUGGUGAGGUAACGGCCCACCAAACCUACGAUCAGUAGCCGGUCUGAGAGGAUGAACGGCCACACUGGAACUGAGACACGGUCCAGACUCCUACGGGAGGCAGCAGUGGGGAAUCUUCCGCAAUGGGCGAAAGCCUGACGGAGCAACGCCGCGUGAGUGAUGACGGCCUCGGUUGU